ACAUUUUCUAAGCUACAGCUGGCAUGUUUGCUUCUGAUGCUUUUUGUUGUUCUUUCGUCUUUUUAUUUGUUUUCCCUCUCCUCUCCUUUUGCUGGAAGAAAAGUGAGGCUGAAAGUCAUUAUUAGUGCCCUGGAGGUAACAUUUUGUCUGUCUCUACGUUCAGUCCUUAGGGAGCUGGAAGUGGAGCAACUGAGGUCGACUGAAAAGAAGGUGGAUGUGUGAGAAGCCCAUGACAACUUCUCCCCUAGCCCUGGAAGGAGAGAGGAAAUGAACUGUCUGGUGACAACAGAGACUGAAAAUUUAAAGUUGCUUUAUGGAGUUAAUGGGAAGGAACUGAUCUGGGAACUGUACUGAUAUGGGAGUUAUAUAUUGCAAGGGAAUUGCUUUAUUAGGUUUAAUAUUGGAGUUCUACCUUUUUAAACCCUAUUAAGUGCUCAAUUUUGACUGGAAUCACUGCAGAUUUAAGGAAUAUGGUCAGGAAGUAAUGGUUAUGAGAACAAAAACAAGGUGAAAAUGAACAGAACGUAUUUUGUCCUUAAGCCAAAUGUGAUGCCAGAAUCAUUUUAUUGCCGAAGAGGAAGAGUAACUUUUUUCUUUGAUAGCACUGACUGACACACUAAUUGAGAAUAUGUGCGUUUAUGUGACAGGUGUUUUACCUGUGAUUGAUGAUAUCUUCAUUUUGUUUCUGUUCUGUACGAUAUCUAGUGGCAAAGAAGUUUUGAUCCCUUUUAUCUAUAAAAUUAUUUAUAUUUAAAGGGUAUAUUCCAACUGUUAAGCCCUGUUGAACAGUUCUCAGAUAAAGACCUUUGCUUACUUAGCAGUGAAACUGUAAAAAGAAGAUAAUGCUGUGCAUUAAGCUGAGAUUUCUGACCUCUGCAUAUUACAUCUUCAUGUUAUACCUGGUAUUAUUUCUAUAACAUCUGGAGUUGAUCUGUAGCAAAAUACUUUCUGUAGAUCAUCUUAUGUAAUGUUGCCAUGCAGGUAUCAGAACAUCAAACAUCUGUGUUGGCCAGAGAUACUCUGUGAAAGUGAUAUCUUAUGGGGUCAUGUAGGCACCUACUGAAGAUAGUAGCAGCAAAUUAAGGCAGUCUCAUACACUAAGUAAUGUAGCUGAAGGCAAUUAACAAAGACAAUCAUAGGGGAAGAAAAUGUAUUUCAGUAAUGUGGAAAGAGAGGAAGUGUGAAAAUCAGAGCUGCUCAGACUUCCUACAUGAGUAUUAGAAUCUUGUCAGGAAAAAAAAGUAAGGAUAGAGAAAACAGGUGGGGGCUUUAAUGACGUGCACCGAAUUGACUAUUCUGACACUGGUGUUUGACUAAUUGUAAAAUAGCACUGACAAUUUCAAGUGAAUGCUUAUGGACAAUUUUAAUAAAUGUU
ensembl:lncRNA